UUUUUCUUUCACCGGAGCUUGCUCCACCGAAAGAAAAAGAGUGGCGAACGGGUGAGUAACACGUGGGUAACCUGCCCAUCAGAAGGGGAUAACACUUGGAAACAGGUGCUAAUACCGUAUAACACUAUUUUCCGCAUGGAAGAAAGUUGAAAGGCGCUUUUGCGUCACUGAUGGAUGGACCCGCGGUGCAUUAGCUAGUUGGUGAGGUAACGGCUCACCAAGGCAACGAUGCAUAGCCGACCUGAGAGGGUGAUCGGCCACACUGGGACUGAGACACGGCCCAGACUCCUACGGGAGGCAGCAGUAGGGAAUCUUCGGCAAUGGACGAAAGUCUGACCGAGCAACGCCGCGUGAGUGAAGAAGGUUUUCGGAUCGUAAAACUCUGUUGUUAGAGAAGAACAAGGAUGAGAGUAAAACGUUCAUCCCUUGACGGUAUCUAACCAGAAAGCCACGGCUAACUACGUGCCAGCAGCCGCGGUAAUACGUAGGUGGCAAGCGUUGUCCGGAUUUAUUGGGCGUAAAGCGAGCGCAGGC
rnacentral:rRNA from 1 species